rnacentral:rRNA from 1 species
GAUCCUGGCUCAGGAUGAACGCUAGCUACAGGCUUAACACAUGCAAGUCGAGGGCAUCAGGAAGAAAGCUUGCUUUCUUGCUGGCGACCGGCGCACGGGUGAGUAACACGUAUCCAACCUGCCGAUGACUCGGGGAUAGCCUUUCGAAAGAAAGAUUAAUACCCGAUGGCAUAGUUCUUCCGCAUGGUAGAACUAUUAAAGAAUUUCGGUCAUCGAUGGGGAUGCGUUCCAUUAGGUUGUUGCGGGGUAACGGCCCACCAAGCCUUCGAUGGAUAGGGGGUUCUGAGAGGAAGGUCCCCCACAUUGGAACUGAGACACGGUCCAAAACUCCUACGGGAGGCAGCAGUGAGGAAUAUUGGUCAAUGGACGAGAGUCUGAACCAGCCAAGUAGCGUGAAGGAUGACUGCCCUAUGGGUUGUAAACUUCUUUUAUACGGGAAUAAAGUGAGGCACGUGUGCCUUUUUGUAUGUACCGUAUGAAUAAGGAUCGGCUAACUCCGUG